CUGACACCGGUUCCUGAAUGUGUCGGCGGUAAUCUUGGUAAAUUUAAGAUUCCAAUGCAUGGCACAAAGAAUCUUCUUAGACGUUAAAAGAAAAUGGAACAGGAUAACACCAAAGAAAAUGAUCUGCCGCUGAUGGCGAACAUAGACACAUAUUGUGUCCAGCAUUAUAUUCUGGAUUUGAUGUGUGACUUUUCUAAAAACAUACUUUCUGGAUCAACGACACUCUUUGUUAAUCGUGUUAAAUCAGAUCCAGUGAAAUCUCAUUUAGAAAAUUACAUUUUACCAAUAAAAAAGCGGAAACAGGUAACUACAGACCAAAUUAUUACAGAGAAGAAACAGAAGAAUUGCAGCAAAGUUUUAAAAUGUUCUGAAAGCAAUUCAAAUAAACUUACAGAUUCUUUAAACUCUGAUAAUGUGUUUUUUGAUGAAGAACAUUCUAGUUUUGCUCAGUCUGAGCAAUAUUUAAAAGACUGCGAGGAAACUGAGUCAAGUUUUGCAACGCAUGAUAUUCCAAGCAAUAAUGAGAAAACGCCAUAUAUUCCAAAAUUGGGUACUGUUGGAUCUACACAAAUUAAUUCUUCGUGUUCAGAAGAGGAAAUUUUACCAACAGAUAUUACUUCAAAUGAUAAAAACGUCGAAGAAAUAAUUCCAUCAAUUGGCAAUCAAAGAAAUUUUAUGACUGCAAAGGAUAUAAGUAAAGAAUCUACGGAGUCAAUGAAUUCUUUUACAAUUUGUCAUUCAGAACAGAAACAAUUUACCAAAGUUUUACCUGGCAAUUCAGACAUUAACCUUCAGUCAGUGGAAGGUGGCAGUAACCAAUAUAACCAUUCCAUAUUUAUACUCGAUGCCUGCGAUAUUAUUGUUUCUGAAGUUACUUUAUUACCACUUCUUUGGUGCGAUAAAUGCCAAAAUAAAUGUUUUAAAGAAUGUGAAACAGGUGCUGAUUCCUCUGCCAAAAGAGAAGAAUUUUAUCGUCAAUGUUCUUUAAAAAUUGGUAAAGAAAUGUCAUUUAAAAAUGACAAAUGGUCACUGAGAAUUUUUGAGAAGGAUCCAACAGAAGAAUUCUGCCUAAAUUCCAAGUUUGCUAUUAAAAUUAAAUAUUCAACACUUGCCAAAGGGAAGUCAUUGAAAUGGGUACCAGACCAAGAUGGGAAUAUGUGCAUGUUUACUUGUGGACACUGGAUAAACAAUAGAUCCUUAUUUCCGAGUCAGGAUCAUUCUGAAGCUCUGUCUACUUGGCAAGCCUAUGUUACUGUUGAGAAUAUUCACACAGUCAUCAUGACAGGAGACAAAGAACCUCUAAUUACUAACACUGAAAAUGGAAAGCUUUGUUAUUUUUACCAGUCGACCAUGUUGUUACCUAGUUCUACAUUAGCCAUAGCAGUCGGACAAUGGCAACAUGCCACCAUAACACACCUCAUGUCCACACAUCAAGAUUCACAACAAAAUCAAAAAUGGGUUCCUGAAUUUUGUGCCUCUGUGCAUGGUUCUUGCAGUGUCAACUAUUCUAAGACUCCUGUGCCUUGUAGAGUUUUUGCUCCAAGAAGUCUCAUAUCAAAAGCAGAAUCAGAGUUUAAAUCAUACCUUCCAAAAUGUCUUACUAAGGCCUGCAGCAUUUUGGGCCCUUAUCCCUUUCGCCGAUUAGAUAUCCUUAUUACUCCUUCUUGUUUUAGUUGUCUUGGAUUGACAAGCCCCUGUGUGAUAUUUCUAUCCCAAUCUGUGUUGGUUGGAGAUGGAAGCUUCUGUAACUGUUUGGCACAUGAACUCUGCCAUUCUUGGUUUGGGCUUCUUAUUGGACCAAAAGACUGGACAGAAGAAUGGAUGACAGAAGGCUUUGCUUCCUUUGUAGAAGAUAUUAUACACACUGAUUUGAUUGGAUUAGAUGAACUAUUUGAGUUACGAGCCUUCUUGAAAUAUAAAUUACUUUCUGCUGAACUGGAACAUACUGAUACGAGUCUGCAAAUUAUGAGACCAAACAGGGAAGUUCCUGAAGAGAAGAAAACUAAUUAUAUUAAAAAUGGUAUGAACCCUGAGAAAAAAUGCAUGCAAGUACAUUAUUUAAAAGGUUAUUUCCUUCUCAGGUACCUUGCACAAAUCGUCGGAAUGGAACAGUUUCAGGAUUUCCUCAGAGUUUAUGUCACUAAGUACCAUGGUCAACUUGUGACCUCUCAGGAUUUCCUCAAAUUAUUAUUUGAUGUCUUCCCUAAUUUAAGAAGGUUUAAGCACAACACAGAUCUGUACAGAGUGGCUGGAUGGAGCAGGUCUUCCAGUGGUAACCUUUGCUGGGUUACAAAAUACCAACCGAACUAAGUCUUAUCAGUGAUGUAUGCAAUCAGGUACAGCUUAUUGAAAAGCAUUGUGCACAAAGGGAUUCCAAACCAUUGAAAGAUUUUAUGGAUAUCCUCAACUUCAAGCCUGUAUGUCAAGACCAGAUUGUAUUGUUUUUGGAAUUACUCCUUGAUGUUGCUCUUCCAAAG
rnacentral:misc_RNA from 1 species